rnacentral:rRNA from 1 species
UACGAAGGGGGCUAGCGUUGCUCGGAAUCACUGGGCGUAAAGCGCACGUAGGUGGAUCGCUAAGUCAGGGGUGAAAUCCUGGAGCUCAACUCCAGAACUGCCUUUGAUACUGGCAAUCUCGAGUCCGGGAGAGGUGAGUGGAACUGCGAGUGUAGAGGUGAAAUUCGUAGAUAUUCGCAAGAACACCAGUGGCGAAGGCGGCUCACUGGCCCGGUACUGACGCUGAGGUGCGAAAGCGUGGGGAGCAAACGGG